GAAAUGGGCGGGAUUGAGGAAAAUAAUUUUCCCACCAGUUCCUAAAAAACCGGUGCGAAAUCAUAUUUUUCGCACCGGUUCAAAUUGGUCCGAAUUACGAAUAUAAAAAAAAACUGGGCUGCUUUUCUUCUUCUUUCUUUUUUUCUUUCUUUCUUUCCAUGUUCUGUACCUUUGAUUUCCCUCUCGUUUUCGCCUUCGUUCUCUAUCCAGAAUCCCGAAUUUUCACCUUCUCCAUUGAAGUGGUUGCCCUAGCUUUCUCACUCCAUUGAAGCAGCACCUCCGCCUUCUCACUCCACUGAAGCAGCACCUCCGCCUCCAUUGAAUCGUGCUCUAUAUUCUCCAUUGAAGCCAAAUCUGAGCUUUCUCACCUCCAUUGAAGCUGCUCCUGGGGCAGGACUUUGCAGAUGUGUUGAGGAGAUUGUAUUUUCUUAUACAUACCCCAACCUAGAUAGUGAGGUACGCUAACUCUUGUUCUCUCCAUAACAAGUCAUUACCUCAACUUAGAGCAAGUGCUAUACUCUCUCAACAACUGUGACAAGCUAAAAAAAAUAUGUUUUGUGUCAAUAUCUCAAAUCUCAAAACACAUGAAUCAUUUAUUGAAGGCGUCAUUCUGUGUACAUCCAAAAACAGGUUAGCAGCUGUUCUUGCUUGUCUAAGGAUAUGUUGCCAAGUUUUGGAUAUUUUUGAGUUCUGUUUCAAUAGUGUGAACCCUUCGCUUAAGUUUGUCUGGCCCUUUGAAUAUAUUUCUUUGAUUUAUCACAUUGUUAAACUUCUUUUCAAGAAUCUUUUUGCAGAAUAUUUAUGCAUUAUAAGCCUGUAUAAAAUCUCAUUCCUUAAACUAUUUUGUGUUGAUGUUUAGGUCUUGUAUGUGUUCCUAUUGAUCCCAACCAACGUGAGGACUUUGUUUAAAAUGCCUAGGCUAUGUGAUACUGGUUAAAUUUGUUUAUAAUGGAAUGUGCUUAGUUGAAUUUUUUGGAACUUAUUCUUACUAAACUUUUUUUGCUAGAACUUUUUGUAAUAAGCUGAGGAUUCCGUGAUGUACUUUUUGAGUAUUAUUUCGAUCAUCAGAUUUUGCAUCACUUCUGAUUCUUUUGGUCUCUUCAGGUCAUCCAAUUACGCCACUCUGGUUAUGAUAUAGCUUAUUGUAGUAACUUCAUGUAUGGUACACUCUACUCUUAUUUUUAACCACAUGAUUGACACUGCUGCUGAUUACUGAAUUUUGAUUAUGUACAUUAUAAUGGCUGGACUGGGAAUACCCAAUACUGAAGCUUGGAACAUUAUUGAGACCACAGCAGAGAAAAACAACAUUGGGUUUAAGCAAUUUUUGAGUAUUUAUCAGCUUUCUUUACUUAUUUUAUCCAUGUUCCUUUUUCCUACACCUUUGUCUGUCAAGUUGUAGUGAAGACGAUAGUACUAUACUACUACCUGCUCUGUCUAGAUCUGAGAGGACUAAAUCUACCCCUUAAUGAAACGGUUCUCCCUCCAUUCCAUGUUAAGAGUCCAAAAUGAAAUUCUUGUUGUUGUGAGUGUGAAGAGUCUAUAAGAAAUAUUUUUUGCUAUUUCUGGGCUGCCGGGGCAAGUGGGCAUUAUGUGCUUGCAGAAUCACUUUGAGAGAGUUAAAUACAUUAGUUAUUUACUAUUAAAUCGCUGCUUUACAUUGUGUCACAAGAACGGAGGUGUGGGAUCUUGUUGGUGACCGUGAGGAUGCAAGCUUCUUUAUUAGUGGAAGCACUAAUUGCCUGGUUAAGAUAUGGGAUCCAAGUCUUCGUGGUUCAGAGCUUCGGGCCACUUUGCAAGGGCAUACCGGGUAACUUCUAUAUCUUAUUUUUAUGUCUUAUUUUCCCUUUGUCUUCUUUACAUUGAUGUAUAUUCUUAAGUUUGUUGUCUUCCAGAGCCGUGCGUGCUAUAAGCUCUGACCGAGGAGAGUAGUGUAAGUGUUGUGUGUCAAGUAUUUGUUUCUAGUUGCAUUUUAGUUUGCAUAGUUUAAAAUGUGUUUAUCCUAACUUGUUUGAUAGAUGUAUUAGCCAGUGUUCUGAUUAAUUUAUGGAGUGGAUAUUGAAGGCAAUCUGCAUUGGUGUAGUCAAGUUUAUUGAGCUUUGUUAGACAGGUUACCAAUUUUGAAAAAAAUGUGUAGGCUUCUCAGUGGUUUAGGAACUAUGAUAAAUAUGCUGAAUUAGAUCCUUUAGUUACGACUCUAUGUUGUUGUUUGCUUUAAUCUCAGCUUCUCAGUGGUUUAGGAACUAUGAUAAAUAUGCUGUUGUUUAUGUUAUUUAAUCAUUAGAGUGUGAUGUUAGAUUUUUCCCAGUUUAGUGUGAUAGUUAUUAAGCCAGAAAUGUAUAGAAUUUGUUUAGCUGAGAGCAAUGAAGAGAGUGCAACAUGUUGCUGAUCUUAUCUGUCUCAAAUCACUCGAACUUACCAAUGUAUGGCUAAAAGCUAUGUUAUAUGGACUUGGGAACAGGUGUCGGACACGGACACAUGUCCAAGUGUCCGAUCCGGCAAGUUCCAAAAUUUUAGGACACGGGGAUUCUGUCCGAUAUUUGGACAUGGGUACAUAGACAUGUCAAUACGUCACUUAAAUUAAUAUAAAUAUAUUACAUAUUACAAAAGCUUUGAAUUUUUCAUUACGUCCACCCCUAUUUUUUUAAUCUUAAUUCUUUCCUCGGUAAAUUAUCCUAAUAAAUGACAAUGUUCUUCCCUCCAUCUUCCCUUUAUUAAUGGUGGUCUUUGAACAAGAUGUGUUUUUCUUUCAUGUUUCUCCUCUUUUUUCCUCUCCACUCUUAAUGGAAGUGUCCGAGUGCACUGUGUAGGGUCGGACACGUGUCUCUGUCGUGUCGUGUCGACAUGGAUACUUCACGAUUUUAGCCGUGUCCGAUUAACAUAGGCUAAAAGUAUGCCUAGUAUUUGUUUACUUUGGGUUGUGAUCAUGAUUUAAAGCUCUUACAUUGUUUAAGGUGCAUUUGAGCAGAUCCAUUUUGCCCAUGUAAUUUAUUAGGACAAGAUAGCGUACCAGUUACAUGUUGCUUCAUAAUUAAGGGGAACAAAAUGGGUUUCUUAAGUUGCUUUCUCUUUAACAUGAUGUGUAAUUCAAUAUUCAUACCUUCUUAAUUGUCGUGCUUUACUGAAAUGGUUUGGUGAUUUUAACUGAAUAACAAUUGCUGCAAACACUGAAUUAUGAAUGUGUGUUCUGUUGCCUUUUCUUUUACUUAUAUUCAUAUCUUAUAGAUUCAUCUCUUACAGAUUUGGGUUUUUUAUUUGCCAUAUUUGUUUUGGGGGGGUUGGGGUGAGGCUGUUUUUCUUAAACUGAGAUCGUGCAAGUUGCCUUAAAUCUCUAUUCUUCCUGCUUGUUUUCUUAGGCUGCUGUUUUGUCUGUUUUUUGCUUCUGUCAUGGUUUUCAGGUCGGGUUUCAACUUCUUUGCCCUGUUCUGUGCUGGUGCCUGACUUGCUGGUGCUGUGUUGCUGUGUUUCUUGUUGGUGGUGUGUGUUUCUGUCUUGUUCAGGCUGUUAGGAUGCCUGGUCUGAGCUUCUGGCUUUCUGUUUGCUGUCUGUUCAGACUGUUCUGCCUGCUAUCUGCUGUUUUGGUUGCGCUGCUAUGUUCAAUGCUGCUUUUCUAACAAGUUGUUGUAUGUUUGUGCUGCUGUUGCACUAUUGUGUUGUUGGUCUGCUGGUUUUGACUGCUCGUGCUGGCUGCCUAGCCGUAGUGUAGCUUCUGGUUGCUGUUUUGCUUGUUGCUACUUGGGAUUGCUGGUCGUGGUGUGGCUUUGCUAUCUCAUUCUCUAUUGCAGGCUUGGGGUGAGUGGGAGCUGCUGUAGUCUGCUGUUUUUUUUUCUUAGUUUUAAUUCUAUUUAUCAAAUAUUGAAGAAAAUAUGUGUUUUAUGUAUAUUAUGAUUAUAUAUAAGGAUUUGGUACAAUUUAAGUGAAAAAAUGCAAUUUUUUUUUAUUUUAUAUUUUUUAUUUUUUUGGGGCACUUUUGGCAGCGGUUUUGGAAAAGAACCGGUGCUAAAAGUUUUGUUUAAAUUUUUUUGGAGACUUUUGGCACCGGUUCUAAGACAGAACCGGUGCGAAAAGUUUAGUUUUUGGCAAAUGUAUGGGGUUUUAGCACCCCCCAAAUCCCCACCAGUUCAAAACCGGUGCUAAAUGGGGGGUUUGAACCGGUGGGGAUUACGUAUUUUCGCCUAGUGAGUGUCUUAUUUGUUUGAUUCUCUGUGUUGUUAGUUGAGUAGUGUUAUUUCCUCACCUUUGUCUUCGACCUAGCUUAGGUGCACAUUGGAAACACUUGAACAAAAUCGUUCCGAGUGGUU